rnacentral:lncRNA from 1 species
GUUUGUUAUUCUGACCCUUGGAUUCCCAAGUGGUGGAUUGGGUGCACAACACUUGAAUUUCUAUAUGAAGGUAUUUUUUUCAUGUUACAAGCACUUAGAUUCCUGAAUCCAACCUAUUGGCAGCUUUGGUAAAGCUCUAUCUUCCUUGGACACUCUUGUCAACUGACCAUACUAACUGAAAAGGGUCAAGAACCAUCAAAAACCUUUCAGAAAAUCCUUGAUUGCAGCAGCUCUCCCUGAGACAAAAAGAAUUAAAAAAAGACAUGCAAUACUUAAAACCAUCUCUUUUGGAUGGUUUAGAAGGAAAGAAAUAGGAUUGUAUUCGAAAAUGAGAAGUUUUCAGUUUAAAGAAUGAAUUAUUAUUUUUUUUUUUUUGUAGUUAUUGAUCUUGGACUAUGUUGUUUAUAGACGUAGGUCCUUUAUCUUUAAUCAACUUUUUUGAUCAGAUGGGUACUAGAUGAGGGUGGGUAAGCUUUUUUGUAUCCCCUCUUCUUUUUGGCUUAUGCCUUGAGGUGCCUCUUGUAAACUCCUUGUAUGGUUGGGCUGUCCUUUACUCUUUAUAUAUAAUAUUCUUUUGUAUUUUUACUUAUAAAAAAAAAAAAACUUAUUGACAUCUUACUUUUUAAACCAGAAAAAUAUAUCACAGCUUAGAAAUAAGAUGUUCUGAUGGUUCUUUUUCUUUGAUAAGCUAAAUUUCCGAGCAUGAAUAAUUUUUUCCCUCAUAAGUGAGAUAUUCUUAGAAUAUAGAGCUAUCAAGCCUAUCUUUUCUGUUCAGUAGUAAGUCUCUCACAUAUCCUUGGCUUGAAAAUUGUGGUUAUUUAUUUAUUUAUUUAUUUUGUAAAUAACCUCCAUUUUCAGUUCUCAUUCAUAUCUGAUCAUCUAUCUUUUUUAGGAAUAAACGACCAGAAUUUACUGCAUGGUUAGCUGAAAUAAAACAGGUAUUCUACUUUGCUGUCUGCUUACCUCUUAUGGUACCAAAAACAUGUUCUGUGGGGAACAUAAAGUGAUGUCCUGGAAUGCAUCCUUUCUUACAUUAAGAUGUGGACUUUUUAUCAAAUUGUAUGUUAAUUGAUCACACAUAUUGAUUGACCAACUAUGAGGAAACACUUGGAAACGUCAAGAGUUGUGUGUGCACAAGUCCCGUUGAUUUUGGUUGUGAAAUUUUGGAAAUCAGACCCACUUAUGGGCGUCCACACAAUGAUGUGGCACAUGCAUCUAAUCCAAGUUAUAAAUUUUUAUUUUAACAAAGCGUAGGAGACCAAAAGUGGUUCUCUUUCUAGCCCUUUCCUUAUCUCUACAACUGGCAUUAAUUAUUAUGUCUUUUUUCUUGAUUCUGAAAAUUGCAAUCUGAUUUCGGCCUCAGCAAACUGGACAUAAUUUCUUUUGUAAGAUUGAUAUGGUUUCACGGAGGUCUCUUAGGAGAUCUGCUUUAUCAUCAAUCAAUUCUUCAGGUUUUGUAAAUGAUUUGGAGAAUAUCAACAUACAAUAAUUCUCGUGAUUGUUUCACAGGUGAACCUGGAGAGUCUGCCUAACUGGGAGGAGAAGCAGAUGUUCAAAGAGUAAGCGUAGCUGUUGAUUGCAUUCAGGGUGCUCUUCAUUAAAAAGCAUUCCUGAAAUAUUAGUUAAGAUAUGUGAACUUCAGAUAAGAUAUGUGAAUUUCUAUCAAUAGGCUACAGCAUGUUAAUUUGUCAUGACAUGUAACUGAAUCUAUGUUAGCCUAAUCGUUUUAUGAUUUGACAAUUAUGAUUGUUGUCACUUGUAGCUGAAUCUAUAUUAGUGGGGAAAGGCACAGGGCCCGGUUCUCAUCCACUAUGAAGAGUGGGGUUUGGUGGGAUUAAGAAAAAAAAAAGCAUGGAAGUUAUGGAUGCAUUCAAUUUUCUUUUUAUGCAGACCCAUAUAGUCAAUUAUCUGAAAGUACUCAUAAAAUAUUCUACUCACUUAAAAAAAUAAUAUAUCCAAACAAAAAGUGGUAUCCCUAACCGGAACCAAAUCAAUGAGGUAGUGGAGCCACUGAAUCCCAGCUCAAUGUAGGGCCAGGCUGGCCAAUAUUUCUAGAUAAAAGAGAUGAGGCCCUGGAGGGUUUGGGUUUGGGAUUGGGAUGGUAGUUGAAGAGUAAAGCAGUGAGGCUUGUAUUCAUUCAUCCAAGGGAAGUGGACGUGAAGGGCUACGUGAAAUUUGUGGGCAUAUAAAAAAUGAAAAAACAAAGAAGAACAACAGCUUCAUUUGUAUGUUUGCUGUGUGUGUCUGAGGUUGACAGGCCAUGCUCUGCUCAUCUCUCUCUGCCUUGUUCAAUUUGGAUUUACUCCACACCCACCAUCGGUCAACAUUGACAUUGGGGUUAUAUAAUAAUAGUAGUGGAGCCACUGAAUCCCAGCUCAAUGUAGGGCCAGGCUGGCCAAUAUUUCUAGAUAAAAGAGAUGAGGCCCUGGAGGGUUUGGGUUUGGGAUUGGGAUGGUAGUUGAAGAGUAAAGCAGUGAGGCUUGUAUUCAUUCAUCCAAGGGAAGUGGACGUGAAGGGCUACGUGAAAUUUGUGGGCAUAUAAAAAAUGAAAAAACAAAGAAGAACAACAGCUUCAUUUGUAUGUUUGCUGUGUGUGUCUGAGGUUGACAGGCCAUGCUCUGCUCAUCUCUCUCUGCCUUGUUCAAUUUGGAUUUACUCCACACCCACCAUCGGUCAACAUUGACAUUGGGGUUAUAUAAUAAUAGUAGUGGAGCCACUGAAUCCCAGCUCAAUGUAGGGCCAGGCUGGCCAAUAUUUCUAGAUAAAAGAGAUGAGGCCCUGGAGGGUUUGGGUUUGGGAUUGGGAUGGUAGUUGAAGAGUAAAGCAGUGAGGCUUGUAUUCAUUCAUCCAAGGGAAGUGGACGUGAAGGGCUACGUGAAAUUUGUGGGCAUAUAAAAAAUGAAAAAACAAAGAAGAACAACAGCUUCAUUUGUAUGUUUGCUGUGUGUGUCUGAGGUUGACAGGCCAUGCUCUGCUCAUCUCUCUCUGCCUUGUUCAAUUUGGAUUUACUCCACACCCACCAUCGGUCAACAUUGACAUUGGGGUUAUAUAAUAAUAGUAGUGGAGCCACUGAAUCCCAGCUCAAUGUAGGGCCAGGCUGGCCAAUAUUUCUAGAUGGUUGACAAUCCAUUUGUACUUAUUUGCCCCUGAAAAGUUGCAGAGUCAGCAGCACAUCUCUAUCAACGGGGUUGGUAUAACCAUUGAGAUCUAUUUAUAAACGUGGGUUUCCUAGUUAGUAGCUUAGCACUGGGCUUCACCAUGGGUGCUUUGAACAAGGUGAUAGCUAUCUUACUCUCUCUCUCGCUGAUUCUGAUGACCCUGGCUCUGGCGAGAGGUUCUAGGAUUCUUAGCAGCUCGAAGGAGGGGCCUCUUGUGGGAGGUUCUGGGGUUUAUGGCAGCUCUAAAGAGAAGGGAGUAAUGGCACGGGGGCCUGUUCCACCAUCUUCUUCUAAUCCUUGCACUCGCAGCGGCGUUGGCAAUGGAAACGAUCAGCCCUGCCACCCAUCCACUCAUCCAUGAUGGUGAUGAUGACGGUUGAUGCCCAUACCAUGGACGGUUGCUUUAUGAGACUGAUCGCUUUGCUGUUGUGAACAAGAAGUAUGAGGAUGAUGAUGUAGUUAUGUGCUUGUGUUAUGCUGCUUAUGCACUUGAUCUUCUAUUUUUAAUAUGUUGCAUAUUAACUAAUAGUGCAUGAGGUGCGUUACGUUUCAAGGAUUUUUUUUUUUUGUUGAGGAAAGGGAAUAGGAAAUAAAAUUUCUUUAUAUUGCACAUUAUUCAAUCUGUACGAUCCGAUUUUUAAAACAUCGCUAUUUUUCACACGUUGAAGGCCACGUCACCUUCUCCCUUUCUAAAAUUAUUCAUUCGCUUUCUUCUCUGUCAUUCUCUUUUGGUUGAUUUAUACCUUCAGAUUGUACCAAAGUUCUACAUCUGCAAUUUUGCAGGCGUUGGGCUUCAAAUUUUCCUUCGUUUUCUUUUCUUUGUCAUUCUUUUUGGUUGAUUUGUACCUGCAGAUUGUACCAAAGUUGAGAUCGGCGAUUCAGGCGUUGGGCUUCAAAUUUUCCUUCGUUUUUCUUUUCUCUGUUAUUCUCUUUUGGUUGAUUUAUAACUUCAGAUUGUAACAAAGUUGAGAUCGGCAUCUCAGAUCUCCAAUUUUGCAGGCGUUGGGUUGCAGGCGUCUUAGUACAAAAAGAAAAAAAAACCCUAGAAAAGUUACAGAAACACUCCACAUCUUACCAUUAUCUAUAGAAUUACCCUUUUCUACCUCUCAAAUCUCUGCUCCCAAUCCCAUCACUGCCUCUGCCCGUGGGGUUUGUGGGUUUGGUUUUGGGUAUUUGAAUCGGGGCUUUUUGUGUCGCAGGUGAUUGGAAGAGAAAUGUGGGAGUUGGGAGAUGAUAAUGUGAGAGAGAUAUGAGAUGGGUUUUGUCCUUCUUUUGCUUUCUGUGAUUUUGAAUUGUUCUUAGUUAAAAAAAUAUAAAAACCCUGAUUUUUUUUUAUUUGGAGAAGCUAGAAGGGUCUUUCUUUUGGGGCAUGGACACUAACACCCAUUGAUUAUUACCCAGCUACCAUAUAAAAGUCACGAGGCUGGAUUCUCCCGUGAAUACUUGGCUAGAAAAUUUAUGUUUAGUUUUCUUUGACGCGGUCAUGCCUUAUGAAUUGAGGUCAGCAAUUCCGGCUCAUGAAAAAUUUUGAGUUUGGUCCUUGGACAGGGGUUUUGGAAUUGAACUUCAAUUGUAGAUUACGCUCUGCAACUAGGAGUGUUUGGAAUGGCAGAAAAUGAAAAAGAAACACGAUCUCUGGCCUUAACGCCAACAUGGUCUGUGGCACUUGUCUUGACAAUCUUUGUUGCUGUUUCGUUGCUUGUGGAGCGCUCAAUCCACCGCCUAAGUAAUGUAAGUGGCAAGAUGGCAUCCAGCAGCUGAUAUUUUUCUUAUGCCUUAAAAUGAGACUUUCUUUUUCUUUUCUUUUUUUAUCUCUCUCAUCAAUAUUAUAUAAAUAAUCAAUCAGUUACAUCAUAAAUUCUAUGUACCCAAUCAUCAAUAUGCAAGCUGAUGUGUAGGCUGUAAAUAUGCAGGUUGAUAGUUCUUUCUUAAUUGUAUUAUUGCUAUAAAUAUGCAAGCUAAUAUGUAGGCCGUAAAUUUUCCUCGAAUGAUGACCAGACUAAUUUGAUAGUUUUCUAGAAUAAUUUCAUAGAGCUGUAUAUAUAUCCCUAUUGUAAUCUUAGUAUAUGUAUGAAUAAAAUUUAAAUUUCUCCUCAUGGUAUUAGAGCUGGUUAGAGUUAUGCCCUAAGGAGUUUUUUUUUUUUUUUUCUUUUUUGUUGGCCGGGGGGAGCGUGGGGAGUGGUUGGGCUAUUCUAUGGUAGAAUCUGGUGGCCCUCAUCGCCCUCUUUCUCUGCCUUCAUUGUGAAGACUUUCUUUUCUUAUAAUUGAUCAGCGUUAUCUAGAUUUUCCCUUUGAAAAACUUGGCUUCAAUUGCCUAGUAUCUCUCUCAGAUUUCUGGUUUUUGUUACCCAGAAAAUUUUUCCUACAACCUAUGGCAUUAAUAUUUAAACUUCCUUUUCUGUAGCCCUUGCUGUCCUUUAUCACCUUAUCCAAAGUCAUGAUCAAUUUAUCUUCUUCCCAAACCACAGUCAGUCACUACCCUUACUUUUCCUACUGAAAAUCCUGAUUCCCAAAUCACAACCUGCAAACUCAAUGGCCACACUUGUCUUGGAUGGUCACAAUCUGCCAAGUUAUUCAUCAAAAGCAAAAAGAAGAUGGGCAAUUUGUUAGAGAAAGUUCCCAUUCCUAAGGAUGAUGAUCCUAAGUUUGAGACAUGGGAAGCUGAAAAUUCCAUGAUCAUGCCUUGGUUGCUUCAUUCUAUGCAACCAAAAAGCAGCAAAUCACUUCUCUUCCUUUCAACAGCUAAGGAGAUUUGGGAAGUUAUGUCAUUCAUAUUCAAAGGUGGAGAUAAAGGCUCAAGUUUAUGACUUAAAGAAUUAAAUUCACUCUAUGAAGCAAUGGUUGUUAUCUGUGACAGAGUAUUAUGAUAUGCUAGAAGGCUUAUGACUAGAACUGGACCACUAUCAACAAUUCAUAAUGGAAUCUGUUGCUGUUCAACUGCAGAAGUUGAUUGAAGAAGACAAAAAUUUUGCCUACCUAGCUGGUUUAAAUCCUGAACUAGAUCAAGGGUUUGAGUUCUAGGAAAAGUACUUACUUCUUAUUAAUUAAAUAUUUUAAUUGUUUUUGUUAAUUUUUUGUAAGGUAAUUUACCUAUGAAAAGAACUUUUCCCUCAAUGAAAGAAGCAUUUGCCUAUGUACAUGCUCUUGCAAUUCCCAAAUCCAAUAAUUAUUAUACAACUGAGAAACAAGAAGGAAGGAGAUCAAAUGAUUGAAUGAAAAUAGCACUAGGUGGUGUGAUUUUUGUACCAAACCUCAACAUGCACAAGAGACCUAUCGGAAGAUUCAUGGAAAGCCCUAUUCCAUUGGAAAAAAUGAUGGAAAAUGAGAGCAGUGUAGCCAGAGUCAAAAUCAGGUUUUUCAGUGGAUAACAAGAAGGAAGAAACUUCUAUGGGUAGUCAAGAGUUUGGAGGAUUUAAUAAGGAACAACUGGAAACAUUAAAGGGCUAACUACACCAAAUGAACACUUCCAUGUCUAUGUGCUCCUAUGUUCAACAAGGUGAUAUCUCUAAAGGCUUAAUUACUUUUUCAGUUUGUUAUUCUGACCCUUGGAUUCCCAAGUGGUGGAUUGGGUGCACAACACCUGAAUUUCUAUAUGAAGGUAUUUUUUUUCAUGUUACGAGCGCUUAGUUUCCUGAAUCCAACCUAUUGGCAGCUUUGAUAAAGCUCUAUCUUCCUUGGACACUCUUGUCAACUUACCAUACCAACUGAAAAGGGUCAAGAACCAUGGAAAACCUUUCAGAAAAUCCUUGAUUGCAGCAGCUUCAAAUUGGAGAACCUUACGCUCCCCCUGAGACAAAAAGAAUUAAAAAAGACAUGCAAUACUUAUUGACAUCUUACUUUUGAAACCAGAAAAAUAUAUCACAGCUUAGAAAUGAGAAAUUUGAUGGUUCUUUUUCUUUGAUAGGCUAAAUUUCCAAGCAUGAAUAAUUUUUUCCCUCAUAAGUGAGAUAUUAACCAGUUUAUGUUACAAAUAUUACUUCCUAACUGUUCGUAUGUGCUAGUGUCUCCAGAAUUCUAUCUUUACUCUGUCAAUACCCUUCUACGGGUUAUAUGCCCAUUAAGGGGAUCAAGGGGAAAGGUAUUGUUUU